GAUGAACGCUGGCGGCGUGCCUAAUACAUGCAAGUCGAGCGAACAGACGAGGAGCUUGCUCCUCUGACGUUAGCGGCGGACGGGUGAGUAACACGUGGAUAACCUACCUAUAAGACUGGGAUAACUUCGGGAAACCGGAGCUAAUACCGGAUAAUAUAUUGAACCGCAUGGUUCAAUAGUGAAAGACGGUUUUGCUGUCACUUAUAGAUGGAUCCGCGCCGCAUUAGCUAGUUGGUAAGGUAACGGCUUACCAAGGCAACGAUGCGUAGCCGACCUGAGAGGGUGAUCGGCCCAACUGGAACUGAGACACGGUCCAGACUCCUAAGGGAGGCAGCAGUAGGGAAUCUUCCGCAAUGGGCGAAAGCCUGACGGAGCAACGCCGCGUGAGUGAUGAAGGUCUUCGGAUCGUAAAACUCUGUUAUUAGGGAAGAACAAAUGUGUAAGUAACUAUGCACGUCUUGACGGUACCUAAUCAGAAAGCCACGGCUAACUACGUG
rnacentral:rRNA from 1 species